rnacentral:lncRNA from 1 species
AUUUUUUUUUUUUCGUGCGCUUUAUUCGAGUUAUCCAUGGAGGGUUGAAGAAUUAUUGUGGCUUUUAAUUCUUUAUGCUCCGGCAAAUUCCUAAAGCCCACUUGGACGUUUGUUAGCAGUCAUCCAAUAUAAAAUGCUGGUGGGUAUAAGGAGUAAAAAAAGAAAUUAAGAUCAAAGCACGCUGCCACGUAGACUUAAGAACCAGUCUGAGGAACC